rnacentral:rRNA from 1 species
AUGGAAUUGAGUCUACCUCAUACGCUUCAUCUUUUUAAUAUAUUUCAUGAGUAUGAUGGAAAGAAAAAUUGUGCUCAAAUACUAGAAGAAGAAUUACAUAGAAUGCUUGGCAUAAAAUAUGUGAAUGAUGAGCAUGAUUGCAAUGUUGUUAGUACGAAUUCUUUGAAUAUCCAUGAUACUAAUGAUGAUUACACUGGUUAUGAUGAAAAUGUCUCCUAUAAACAUGUCAAUUUUUGUGGAGUGCAUUGGGUUUGUAAGUACACACCAAAAAGGGAAGAUAGAUAUUGCAAGAAGCAUAAGUACUUAGAAACUAAAUUGUUGCAAGAAAUACUAGAUGAUUGUGCUGAAAAUUUAAAUUUUCUUGGCCGUACUUGUGGACUUUGCAAUGGACAGGGUCAUUUAGCUAUCCGAUGCAAAUUGUUCCAUGAUCUAAUCGUGUCCAAAAAUUGUGAUGACUUGAUUUCCCUUGCACAUUAUAAUGAACUUAGUUUGCUUAUGGGCUACAAAGAAAUGAAACGUAUAACUAAGGAUAUUCCAAAUUUUGCCCUUGAUAGAGUUCUUCAUUUUGAUCUAGAGGAAAUUUAUAUGUAUUGUGCGGUAAAUUGCAUUGAAAAUCCUUAUAUUGCCAACUACAUAAAGAAAAGAAAACAAAUAGAAGAUGAAGAGAAUACUAAUGAAAGGGAAGAGACUUCCCAAUAUCCUCCUAUUAUUUCUUAUGAUGAAUCAGGUAACGAGGAGGAGCCUCCUAUUCAACCAAUCUCAUUAAUAAGGAGCUCCAAAAAGACGAUUGAACCCACACAUGAUGUCGUGAAGAAGAAGAAGAGAAAAUGGAAGAGAGGUAAAAAGAUAUAUUCCCCAAAUAAUGCUGCUCCCAUUACUAUUGUGCCUCAUGAAAAUAUAAUUGUGGAAGAUAAUGAUACUUCUUAUGAUCUUGAAAAUCUUUUUGGCACUUGCUUGGAAGAACAUGAUAAUUGCUAUACUAUUGGUGCUAUCCAUACUAUUAAUGAUGAGAGCGAUUAUGCUUAUGAUAUGAAAAGGCCCAAGCUUGGGGAUGCUAUGUUUGAUGAAGAUGAUGUUUUUGAGAAUAUAUUUGCUGCAAUUAAUGUUUGUCCCAAGCUUGGGGAAGCUAUGUUUAAUGACAAUAUUUUUAGUCUCCCAAGUUUUGACAUGCAAAUUUAUAAUGAUGAUAGCAUGCCUCCUACCUAUGAUGAUUAUUGUCAUGAUACUUAUGCUAUAAAAAGUAGUGAUUGUAUUUAUAAAACUUGUCAUGAUUAUGAUUAUCCUUUUUCUGAACAUUAUUCUUUUAAUGUGGAAACAAUUUAUAGUAUUCGAGUCUCUUAUGAUACUCCCACUAUUCCGAAUGAGAAGAAUCUUGCUUAUGUGGAGAGUAAUAAAAAUUCUAUGCUUAUAGAUCAUGAAAAGAAUGCUUUAUGUGAUAGUUAUAUUGUUGAAUUCAUUCAUGAUACUACUGAAAAUUAUUACGAGGGAGGAACAUAUGCUUGUAGGAAUUGCAAUAAUAUCAAGUUUCCUUUCUAUGCGCUUAAAAUCUUGAAGUUAUGCUUGUUUUGCUUUCCCAUGCUAGUUGACUAUUGUUCCCAUAAAUUGUUUUCUCACAAAAUCCCUAUGCAUAGGAAGUGGGUUAGACUUAAAUGUGCUAGUCAUAUUCUUCAUGAUGCUCUCUUUAUGUUUCAAUUCUUAUCCUUUAUGUGA